rnacentral:rRNA from 1 species
GAUGAACGCUGGCGGCGUGCUUAACACAUGCAAGUCGAACGGAAAGGCCCUGCUUUUGUGGGCUGCUCGAGGGGCGAACGGGGGAGGAACACGUGAGCAACCUGCUCUUGACUUUGGGGUAACUUCAGGAAACUGGGGCUAAUACCGGAUAGGAGCUCCCGUUCCAUGGUGGGGGUGGGAAAGUCUCGGCGGUCGGGGCUGGACGCGCGGCUUAUCAGCUUGUUGGUGGGGUAGUGGCUGACCAAGGCUUGGACGGGUAGCCGGCCUGAGAGGGUGACCGGCCACCUUGGGCCUGAGAUACGGCCCAGACUCCUACGGUAGGCAACGGUGGCGAAUAUUGCCCAGUGGGCGGGAGCCUGAUGCGGCGGCGCCGCGUGCGGGAUGACGGCCUUCGGGUUGUGAACCGCUUUCGCCUGUGACGAAGCGUUAGUGACGGUAAUGGGUAAAGAAGCACCGGCUAACUACGUG